rnacentral:rRNA from 1 species
UACGGAGGAUGCGAGCGUUAUCCGGAUUUAUUGGGUUUAAAGGGUGCGUAGGCGGGCAUUUAAGCCGGCGGUCAAAUGUCGGGGCUCAACCCCGGCCUGCCGUCGGAACUGGGUGCCUUGAGUGGGCGAGAAGUAUGCGGAAUGCGUGGUGUAGCGGUGAAAUGCAUAGAUAUUACACAGAACACCGAUUGCGAAGGCAGCUUGCUAGGCCGGAUCUGACACUGAUGCACGAAAGCGUGGGGAUCGAACAGG